GCAAAGCACACAGUAAAGUCAGAGACAAAGCUGAACUUGGGGAAAUGUUGCCAUGGUGAAGGGAAAUUGAAGUUUAAACUGGGGGGAAUAAGGCUGGACACAGUUUCUGCAGACCGGCCGGAUGUCGAUGAUCCCAACCAGCCCUCGGUCCUGAGCGUCACCUGGUCCUGAGCGUCGCCUGGUCCUGAACAUCACCUGGUCCUGAGCGUCACCUGGUCCUGAGCAUCGCCUGGUCCUGAGCGUCCCCCAGGCUGGUGUCGGAGGUGUGAAGAUGAGCCAGCUCUGAUUUCUCCCGAUAUCCGCUCGCCAGACGCCUCCCAGUCCCGCCCGCCCCGUGCCCCGUGCCGACAACAAACGUGUGUCCCGGUGACGGAACCUCGGGCUGUGCUGUCACUCCUGCGAGACAGAGGGAAGAGCCACGUAACUCUGCGCCACAACAACUUGUAUUUGAAUGAAACAGAUAAGAUAAUGGCUGCAAUAACCUGACACAGUAGAUGCUCUGGCCAUGGAUGCGAAGGCAGCACAGCCGGAUCGCACAAACUCACCAACGCCUGGACAGUGUCUCACCAUAUUCCACUGCCCCCGAGGAGCUUUCAGGGAAACCUUAAGUAAGUAUUUCAAAUGUUCCCUCAAGGAAUAUUAAUUAUGCUUCCUUGAGGUAAAGCAGCGUUGGCAAUAAGUUUGUUUAAUUAGCGUUUCAUCGCACUGCGUUGUCGGGGACGCAGACCCUCCACGGAAACACGGGGCUGUGCAGCUGCUACCAGGACAUCACACCAUGGCUUCAGAAAAAGAUUUUCAAAAGGUUCUUGUGUUUAAAUGAACCAAAC
rnacentral:lncRNA from 1 species